UUUCCGUAGGUGAACCUGCGGAAGGAUCAUUAACACUACGAAAACUGUGGGAGCUGCCUUAAACAAGCAGCGCUCGCUUUUUUCUUAUCUACCCCUGGGUGCCAGUUGCCACAGUGUCACUUUAUUGUCUCACUACUCUUCUUUUUUCACCUUUUUUUAUACCCUAUUCAACCAAUUGACUGAAAACUUAUGAAAGCACAAAAUAUCUGUACAACUCUUAGCAACGGAUAUCUUGGCUCUC
rnacentral:misc_RNA from 1 species